rnacentral:rRNA from 1 species
AGUUCGGAUUGGAGUCUGCAACUCGACUCCAUGAAGCUGGAUUCGCUAGUAAUCGCGCAUCAGCCAUGGCGCGGUGAAUACGUUCCCGGGCCUUGUACACACCGCCCGUCAAGCCAUGGGAGUCGGGGGUGCCCAAAGUUGGCAGGAUAAUAUGUUACCUAAGGCAAAACCGAUGACUGGGGUGAAGUCGUAACAAGGUAGC